CAUAAUAACUUCUCGAAUCGCAUGGCCUUGUUGCGGCGAUGGUUCAUUCAAAUUUCUGCCCUAUCAACUUUCGAUGGUAGGAUAGUGGCCUACCAUGGUUUCAACGGGUAACGGGGAAUUAGGGUUCUAUUCCGGAGAGGGAGCCUGAGAAACGGCUACCACAUCCAAGGAAGGCGGCAGGCGCGCAAAUUACCCAAUCCCGACACGGGGAGGUAGUGACAAUAAAUACUGAUACAGGGCUCUUUUGAGUCUUGUAAUUGGAAUGAGUACAAUUUAAAUCCCUUAACGAGGAACAAUUGGAGGGCAAGUCUGGUGCCAGCAGCCGCGGUAAUUCCAGCUCCAAUAGCGUAUAUUAAAGUUGUUGCAGUUAAAAAGCUCGUAGUUGAACCUUGGGUCUGGCUGGCCGGUCCGCUCACCGGUGCACUGGUCCGGGCGGAUCUUUCCUUCUUGGCUAGGCCGGAUGCCCUUCACUGGGGUGUGGUCGGGGGAAACAG
rnacentral:rRNA from 1 species